GAAAAUUCGAUUCCCUUAGUAGCGGCGAGCGAAACGGGAAGAGCCCAAACCAACAAGCUUGCUUGUUGGGGUUGUAGGACACUCUAUACGGAGUUACAAAGGACGACAUUAGACGAAUCAUCUGGAAAGAUGAAUCAAAGAAGGUAAUAAUCCUGUAGUCGAAAAUGUUGUCUCUCUUGAGUGGAUCCUGAGUACGACGGAGCACGUGAAAUUCCGUCGGAAUCUGGGAGGACCAUCUCCUAAGGCUAAAUACUCUCUAGUGACCGAUAGUGAACCAGUACCGUGAGGGAAAGGUGAAAAGCACCCCGGAAGGGGAGUGAAAUAGAACCUGAAACCGUGUGCUUACAAGUAGUCAGAGCCCGUUAAUGGGUGAUGGCGUGCCUUUUGUAGAAUGAACCGGCGAGUUACGAUUUGAUGCAAGGUUAAGCAGUAAAUGUGGAGCCGUAGCGAAAGCGAGUCUGAAUAGGGCGUUUAGUAUUUGGUCGUA
rnacentral:rRNA from 1 species